AAUAGAUACCCGGGUAGUCCACGCCGUAAACGAUGAGUGCUAGGUGUUAGGGGGGGCACCACCCCUUAGUGCCGAAGUUAACGCAUUAAGCACUCCGCCUGGGGGAGUACGGCCGCAAGGCUGAAACUCAAAGGAAUUGACGGGGGCCCGCACAAGCAGUGGAGCAUGUGGUUUAAUUCGAAGCAACGCGAAGAACCUUACCAGGACUUGACAUCCCGGAUGACCCCCUCUAGAGAUAGAGGCUUCUCGUUCGGAGACAUCGGUGACAGGUGGUGCAUGGUUGUCGUCAGCUCGUGUCGUGAGAUGUUGGGUUAAGUCCCGCAACGAGCGCAACCCUUGUCCUUAGUUGCCAGCAUUCAGUUGGGCUACUCUAGGGAGACUGCCGGUGACGAAACCGGAGGAAGGUGGGGAUGACGUCAAAUCAUCAUGCCCCCUAUGUCCUGGGCUACACACGUGCUACAAUGGUUGGUACAGAGGGAUGCGAGCCGUGAGGUGAGCCAAUCCCAUAAAACCAUCUCAGUUCGGAUUGC
rnacentral:rRNA from 1 species